UACCGUUCGUGAUGACGGUACCAUUUGUAAGCUCCGGCUAACUCCGUGCCAGCAGCCGCGGUAAUACGGGGGGAGCAAGCGUUGUUCGGAUUUACUGGGCGUAAAGGGCGCGUAGGCGGCCAGCGCAAGUCAGUUGUGAAAUCUCCGGGCUUAACUCGGAAAGGUCAACUGAUACUGCGCGGCUAGAGUGCGGAAGGGGCAACUGGAAUUCUCGGUGUAGCGGUGAAAUGCGUAGAUAUCGAGAGGAACACCUGCGGCGAAGGCGGGUUGCUGGGCCGACACUGACGCUGAGGCGCGAAAGCCAGGGGAGCGAACGGGAUUAGAUACCCCGGUAGUCCUGGCCUUAAACGAUGGAUGCUUGGUGUCUGGGGUUUUAUAGUCCCCGGGUGCCGUANCUAACGCGUUAAGCAUCCCGCCUGGGGAGUACGGUCGCAAGACUGAAACUCAAA
rnacentral:rRNA from 1 species